UACGGAGGAUGCGAGCGUUAUCCGGAUUUAUUGGGUUUAAAGGGUGCGUAGGCGGAGUGUCAAGUCAGCGGUAAAAUUUCGGGGCUCAACCCCGUCGUGCCGUUGAAACUGACGCCCUUGAGUGAGUGAGAAGUAAGCGGAAUGCGUGGUGUAGCGGUGAAAUGCAUAGAUAUCACGCAGAACGCCGAUUGCGAAGGCAGCUUACCGGCGCUCAACUGACGCUGAGGCACGAACGUGCGGGUAUCGAACAGG
rnacentral:rRNA from 1 species